rnacentral:rRNA from 1 species
UACGUAGGGCGCGAGCAUUAAUCGGAAUUACUGGGCGUAAAGCGUGCGUAGACGGUUAUUUAAGUCGGGUGUGAAAGCCCCGGGCUCAACCUGGGAAUUGCAUUCGAGACUGAAUAGCUAGGGUACGGUAGAGGGAAGCGGAAUUUCCGGUGUAGCGGUGAAAUGCGUAGAUAUCGGAAGGAACAUCAGUGGCGAAAGCGGCUUCCUGGACCAGUACCGACGUUCAGGCACGAAAGCGUGGGGAGCAAACAGG